ACUCGGAACCUCUAGGGUCGUGAGAGCUUGACAGUUGGCCCCACAGCCUUACUAGGAAAUCCCAGCAUACAGCUGAGCACUCUUGGAUUCUCAGGCAGAGCCCAGGAAAAUUAGACAGUCCUCAGAAAAACAAUAUACUGUGUUAGGUGUCUGAUAUCUGGCAUGGUAGGAACUGAGAAGUUACCUGACACCAAGGGCCUGGAGAUCAUUCACCUGGCUCAGCUUCGGUCAAGAAAAUAGGCCACAGUUUUCCAUCAGCUGUGAACAAACAAUCCAACAGAAGAUCGGAACAUGAAUGCCCAAGGGACAAGCAAGGAGAGAACACUUUGGAGCCUGUCCUAAACCAAGCUAGCCUCGAACUCAC